rnacentral:lncRNA from 1 species
UGCAAGCAGGCAAAGACCUUUCUCUUCAAGCAAGCUUUCCCUCAGUGAGGUUUUUUAAUGGUUAUGACUAUUACUGCAUUGAAUGUGUUUUUGUUUUUCCUUUUGUUUACUGUCUUUUAGUGUGGUAUUUGCUUGCUCCUUUUUAGUACAGUAUUUGUAUAUUUACUGUUGUUAGAUUUAAAUAUUGUCUUUUAAUGAUGUAAGCCACUUUGGGUCCUUUUUAAGGAGAAAGUGGGGAUGAAAUACUUUAAAUAAAUAAAAUUGUGUGCCUUCCAUGACUAACAUUCCAUUGUUACCUUUAUAAAGAUGAUUAAACCACUGCAGUAAUCAGAUUAGAAACUUGCUCUUAACUGGAUUUGAAUUUCAAUGUGCUUUGUAUUGAUUAUACAUACUAUAUGAUGGUGUAUUUUAGUUUUUAUUAUGACCUAUUGUCAUAAUAACCAUAAAGUUUAACAGUGAUCUUGGUCUGUCUGGUGUGUAGAUGAAAGGGCAGCAUGAUAAAUAGGAGACAGAUUAUAUCUAAGGCCUCCACCCCUCCUGAGUGAGUGAUUUUCUAUAUGCAAAUGUAUGGCUUCCCUGAUCCCUCUCUCAAACCACCUAUCUUCUCUGUCCAAAAGGAGUACAUCUUGGUCAUCAAAUGAGUGUCCUUUGUCCUUCAAAUGAAGGAACACUGCUGAUUGUGGUCUGGAGCCAUUGCCCCUCCUGUGCUGGGCCAUUCUCCUGUUUUGUGGCUGUUAACCUCACUUGGAUGACUGAGAAUCUUCACAGAUACAUUUCUGCAACAAGGCUGGCAGACUAACAUUUAACUCCUGGGGACUGUCUGUGGCUUAAAUCUAAAGUUAUGCUGGCAACUGAACUCCUUCCUCAUCCUUGCAGGCAUACUACCCAAAAACUGAGUGCUGAUUGUUCACAGCCCUGCAGAACAGUUUACACAUUGUUGUUGUUUUUGUAGUAUUUUAUUUAAAAUAAAAUAAAAAUUUUAUUUAAAAUUAUAUUAUCU